GUGCAGAUGAUGAUAAAAAAAGACACUUUUACUGAGCAUUUUCUCUUAUGAAGUCUCAACAAAUCGAGCUUUUUAAAACUGAUGCUCA
rfam:Musa acuminata subsp. malaccensis Doubled-haploid Pahang (DH-Pahang) genomic chromosome, chr3